GGAUGUAGAUGGGAUGGGAGAGGGAAGCAGGGAUGAGGGCAAGAUUAAAUGCACCAGUAGUGCUGUGUGUAGUGAUGGUACUUACUUGACUUCAUUAGUUUCCAGAGGAAUCAUCCAGGAGCCCUCACCGAACGAGAAUAUGCAGAAGUGGAUGUGAGCAGCCUGGACAUCCUUCUGAGGAGACCUCAACAGUGCUCAGGUUUCUGCCUUCUGCCUAACUGGCUUAGCAAGUGAAAAGAAGUCACAGGCCAGAGUCUACUGCCCUCGUGCAAUGGAAAGAGAGCAAGAGCGAUGAGUCUGCAAGCGUUGUUGAUGCGACGCAGAAGGCGUCCAUCUGGGAGCGGAACUGCCACCACUCUCAAUGAGAUAAGUGUCUUCUUUGGUGAUCGCUCUGCUCAAGGUCCAUCUUGCUCCCGGUAGGGACGCCCUGUUAGCUGGGACUGGGUUUGUAAGAAAAGGUUCCUGACUAGUUGUGGUUACAAGGGAGACGAUGUCCCCAUUUUCAGGGGCUGCUCAUGUCUCUGGCUAGGACCAGUGUGUCCUCCGCAGCAUAUUAGAUCCAGGGGGAUAACUCCAGCUGGUGAGUUUCUUGACUCCCUCCCACGUUUUUCUCUCUCUCUCCUCUGAUGUGUUGGCCAACACACACUCUGUCUGUCUGUCUCUCACUCUCUCUGUCCUUGCCUCUUCUUAUGCUGUCUUCCUUCGUAGGACACAGGCAGGUGUGUUAGGUGUGCAUCCCCACAGGCUAGGUCUAGUGAGCUAUGAACAAGUAGGGGACCGAAAUGAGCAGGGCAGUGGGCGCUAGAGUGAAGCGGUGACUGUGGGUGUUGACUGAGUCUCUGCUCUAGUAGGGCUGAUGUGGGAGGCAGGGAUGAGGGCAAGAUUUCACGCACCAAUUGAAUUUUUUGUAGUGAGGGCUCUUGCUUGGCUUAUUUGCUGCACUUGUAGAGGAAUUGUCCAGGAACAGCAGCCGGAGGAGAAAUUGGCAGACGUGGGCCUGAGGAGCCUGGACAUUCUUCUAAGGAGACAUGAACAGUCCUCGGCUUUCUGCCUCGUGCAUAACUGGCUGUGGGUUUGGUGUGUCUGACCAGAGUCAUCUGUGCAGAGUGACUAUUUCAGGUGUCGUCGCAAGGGGUGCUUUCUACUUGUAGUCAUAAAGGCGUGAUGGGAGGAGGGUUCAGGGCAGAACCCCACCAUGUGGGAGAGGCAAAAAGAAGCAGCUACCCAACAUUGCCAAUUGAGAUGGUGACUGACUUGUUUUUCCGCUGGAUUUAGUACCAAGGGAAAAGAAGUGACAAGUCAGAGUCUACUGCCCUCAUGCGAUGGAAAGCGAGCGAGAGUGAUGGGACUGGGAGAAUUAUUGCUGCCUUGAAAAAGCCGUCCAACUGGAAAUGGAACAGUCAUCACUGUCAAUGAGAUAAGUGUCUGUUUUGGUGAUUGCUCUGCUCACGGCCCACCUUGCUCCUGAAAGGGAUGCCCCGUUUGCUGAGGCUGUGUUUGUAAGAAAAGGUUCCUGACUAGCUGUGGUUUUGAGAGAGAGAGAGAGAGAGAGAGAGAGAGAGAGAAGAUCCCCAUUUUUAGGGGCUGCUCAGUUUUCUGGCCAGGAGCGUGUGUCCUACGCAGCAGAAGGUUGCAUCUAGGAGAAUGAGUCCAGGUGGUGAAUUGCUUGCCUUUCCCUCGUGUUUCUCUCUCUCUCUCUCUCUCUUCUCUAGUGUGUUGGCCAACACUCUUUCUCAAUCUGUCCUUGCUUUUCCUUGUGCUGUCUCCCUUCUUAGGAUAUUGGCAGGCGAGCUAGGUGUGCACCCCCACAGGUUGUGUCUUGGGAGCCAUAAAGAAGUAGGAGGGGA